GGCCCUGGCGCAGCCUACACAUGCAAGUCGAGCGGUAACAGAUCUAGCUUGCUGGAUGCUGACGAGCGGCGGACGGGUGAGUAAUGCAUAGGAAUCUGCCCGAUAGUGGGGGAUAACCUGGGGAAACCCAGGCUAAUACCGCAUACGUCCUACGGGAGAAAGGGGGCUCCGGCUCCCGCUAUGGGAUGAGCCUAUGUCGGAUUAGCUAGUUGGUGAGGUAACGGCUCACCAAGGCCACGAUCCGUAGCUGGUCUGAGAGGAUGAUCAGCCACAUCGGGACUGAGACACGGCCCGAACUCCUACGGGAGGCAGCAGUGGGGAAUAUUGGACAAUGGGGGAAACCCUGAUCCAGCCAUGCCGCGUGUGUGAAGAAGGCCCUCGGGUUGUAAAGCACUUUCAGCGAGGAAGAACGCCUAGCGGUUAAUACCCGCUAGGAAAGACAUCACUCGCAGAAGAAGCACCGGCUAACUCCGUGCCAGCAGCCGCGGUAAUACGGAGGGUGCAAGCGUUAAUCGGAAUUACUGGGCGUAAAGCGCGCGUAGGUGGCUUGAUAAGCCGGUUGUGAAAGCCCCGGGCUCAACCUGGGAACGGCAUCCGGAACUGUCAAGCUAGAGUGCAGGAGAGGAAGGUAGAAUUCCCGGUGUAGCGGUGAAAUGCGUAGAGAUCGGGAGGAAUACCAGUGGCGAAGGCGGCCUUCUGGACUGACACUGACACUGAGGUGCGAAAGCGUGGGUAGCAAACAGGAUUAGAUACCCUGGUAGUCCACGCCGUAAACGAUGUCGACCAGCCGUUGGGUGCCUAGCGCACUUUGUGGCGAAGUUAACGCGAUAAGUCGACCGCCUGGGGAGUACGGCCGCAAGGUUAAAACUCAAAUGAAUUGACGGGGGCCCGCACAAGCGGUGGAGCAUGUGGUUUAAUUCGAUGCAACGCGAAGAACCUUACCUACUCUUGACAUCCUGCGAAUUUGGUAGAGAUACCUUUAGUGCCUUCGGGAACGCAGAGACAGGUGCUGCAUGGCUG
rnacentral:rRNA from 1 species